ensembl:lncRNA
AGCAGGUGAACAGCAACUAGUAACAGCUGAAUUCAAGGAUGAGAGAUUAGAGGCCAAAUGUCCUCUGGGGGACCUGAAGCUGGAGAGCAUCACUGGGAGCAGAGGAGAAACAGGUGUUGGUAAGAUGGGAGAGAUGAUGGACAUCUAGAAGGGCAGUGAAGAUGAGACAGACUUAAGGAUUGAGAAGCUAACACAGAUAUGAUGUUUGCAUGGAAUCCAGUUCUGUAAAGUAAAUGGAGGAUCCAUCUGUGCUUUUCUACCAGUCUGUUUCUGCAUGGACAGGCUGUUCUUUCAGCACAAAUGAAAGAGGAUUCAGCUGGGGACAAUGGAUGAUACUGUGAGGACAGUGAAUUUUUAAUGUUUUCCAUCACUGAGAUAUCUAACGAUGAAACAAAGUUCAGAAGAAUAAAUGGAAAAUUCUGAACUUAUACCUACCUGGGCAUAGUUACCUUCAGUCUACAGACACUUGAUCUGGGGGGAUGAGGCUUUGAGAAGGAAACAGUUUCCCAGAUUUGUGGACAGUUUGGUGAUGCAGCUUCAGCUCCUUCAAAUAAACUGCACCAUUGUGACUGACAGCUUCAUUGAUAACCUCAUAAACUACAGGGAGAGAAUGAUGGGUGCUGCACACAGACAUGAUAUUCUUCCAAAAGACUUUAUUGAUCCUUCUGCUUAAAAAUUGUACAACUAUAUUCUUAGUUUAUCUUGUUAUUGUGGUGUCAUUAUUUAGCUGUUAGAUGAUCUUUGGUCCUGUAAAACAGUUACCUAAAAUGCAGUAUAGAAGGUGAAAUUUUAUCACUCCCAACCCAGGUGAAUAUGCACUUUGCACAUUCAAGAAAAGAACAGUUUGGAGAAAAAAUGUAGUGACACACAAAAUAGAGCUUCUUCUACACUUUGAGUCUUCAAUUUUUUAUUUGAUAAUUUGUUUAUACAAAUUUGUAGUUGUUUCUUAUGAUUAUAUAUUUGAUUCUAAACCUAAGCAGGUUUAUACUACUGAUAAAAUUGCUGUGUGAGUUGUUUUGAUACAUUAGCUUCAGUAUUUAUAAGCAAAACAAACAAUGAGCUAAGUUUCUAUAUAUAUCUCUAAAAUGAAAGUCACAAUCUCUGUGAAAAUGUAUUCUCACUGCACAGAGUAAUUAGUGAAAGAUGUUUGUAGAUUUCAUAAUUUCUGCUCUUCUCUAGUAAUUUAAGUAAUAUUCUCUUGUUAGCCAGAGAUGUGCCUGUGUUAAAUUAAUCUGUAAGUACAACAAGUAUAAUAAAUUUACCACAAAUUGUAGAUAUCUCCUGAUUUUCUGAUGGUAUAUUAACAACAAUCAUUUAUUAAUUAAAUACUUUCCAUUCAGGUAUGAUGAGUCUUAUAUAGCCUUA